rfam:Oryza sativa Japonica Group DNA, chromosome 5, cultivar: Nipponbare, complete sequence.
AAAAAAGCAAACCCUAGGUUUUCGUGUCCAACUUUGACUGUCCGUCUUAUAUGAAAAUUUUUUAUAAUUCGUAUUUUUAUUGUUGUUAGAUAAUAAAACAUGAUUAAUAUUUUAUGCAUGACUUGUCUUUUUAAUUUUUUUCAUAAUUUUUUCAAAUAAACGGACGGUCAAACAUUGGACACGGAAACCAGGGUUUGUCUUUUU